rnacentral:rRNA from 1 species
UACGUAGGUGGCAAGCGUUGUCCGGAUUUAUUGGGUUUAAAGGGUGCGUAGGCGGCUUUGUAAGUCAGUGGUGAAAUACGGUAGCUUAACUGUCGAGGUGCAAUUGAUACUGGGAAACUUGAGUACUGAUGAGGUAUGCGGAAUGGACGGUGUAGCGGUGAAAUGCUUAGAUAUCGUCCAGAACACCGAUAGCGAAGGCAGCAUACUAAGGAGUAACUGACGCUGAGGCACGAAAGUGUGGGGAUCAAACAGG